GACGAACGCUGGCGGCGUGCUUAACACAUGCAAGUCGAACGGAAAGGCCCUGCUUUUGUGGGGUGCUCGAGUGGCGAACGGGUGAGUAACACGUGAGUAACCUGCCCUUGACUUUGGGAUAACUUCAGGAAACUGGGGCUAAUACCGGAUAGGAGCUCCUGCUGCAUGGUGGGGGUUGGAAAGUUUCGGCGGUUGGGGAUGGACUCGCGGCUUAUCAGCUUGUUGGUGGGGUAGUGGAUUACCAAGGCUUUGACGGGUAGCCGGCCUGAGAGGGUGACCGGCCACAUUGGGACUGGGAUACGGCCCGGACUCCAACGUGGGGCAGGAGUGAGGGAUAUAGCACAAUGGGCGGAGGCCUGAUGCAACAACGCCGCGUGCGGGAUGACGGCCUUCGGGUUGGAAACCGCUUUCGCCUGUGACGAAGCGUGAGUGACGGUAAUGGGUAAAGAAGCACCGGCUAACUACGUG
rnacentral:rRNA from 1 species